AUUGAACGCUGGCGGCAGGCCUAACACAUGCAAGUCGAGCGAGCGGCGGACGGGUGAGUAAUGUAUGGGGACUGCCCGAUAGAGGGGGAUAACUACUGGAAACGGUAGCUAAUACCGCAUACUAUCGGAUAACCCAUAUGGGAUUAGCUAGUAGGUGGGGUAAAGGCGCACCUAGGCGACGAUCUCUAGCUUGUCUGAGAGGAUGAGCAGCCAAACUGGGACUGAUACAUGGUCCAGACUCCCACGGAUGCAGCAGUGGGGAAUAUUGCACAAUGGGCGCAAGCCUGAUGCCGCCAGGCCGCGUGUAUGAAGAAGGCCGUAGGGUUGUAAAGUACUUUCAGCGGGGCUGCGUUACCCGCAGAAGAAGCACCGGCUAACUCCGUGCCAGCAGCCGCGGUAAUUC
rnacentral:rRNA from 1 species